rnacentral:rRNA from 1 species
CACGUAGGGGGCAAGCGUUGUCCGGAUUUAUUGGGUGUAAAGAGCUCGUAGGCGGUUCGGCAAGUCGGGUGUGAAACCCCCAGGCUCAACCUGGGGACGCCACCCGAUACUGCUGUGACUUGAGUCCGGUAGGGGAGCGUGGAAUUCCUGGUGUAGCGGUGAAAUGCGCAGAUAUCAGGAGGAACACCAGCGGCGAAGGCGGCGCUCUGGGCCGGAACUGACGCUGAGGAGCGAAAGCGUGGGUAGCAAACAGG